ensembl:lincRNA
GGAGUCAGGCCCGCGGGGAGGAGCCGGGCCAGGUAUUUUGGCUGGGGGUGGGAUGGCGCUGUUAGGUUUUCACAAAGAGGGAAAAGUGAAAGCCCUCGGGUGGAAGGAGGCGCAGCAGCUCGAUUCCUCAGCCGACCCGGAGCCGACGCACCUCCCGGCAGGUUUUUGUGAAAACAAAAGUUCUUUCUCUCUGGGACAGAUAAACAAGAGUGAGAUUUCUAGGUCAUAUGGGCAUAUGCUGAAUGAAAAUGGGACCACUCUGUUCCCAGUUCAACCUAAGGUACUUGGCAUAGUACCAAGCACAUACUAUGUCUUCAGGCAGCAGGAGCUGGGAGAAAGCUGAAGCAGACCAAGACAGGACCAAGAAGUGAAGCAAAGGAGGCAAAAAUGAAGGUUGGUUGGGCACCAGCUUUGGCGUGGCCAAGCUGUCGUCAGUGGGUGAGGCACACUGCUAAUACACAGGUGGCUCACGGAGCCACCUGACAGCCAAGGCGAAGCCACACAGGCUGAACUCUGAUCAAAGAAACAUAGCCCAUGUAAACCCUUUUCUCUCCAAGAGUUCUUAAGUAAUUGACCCCGAUUCUGUACAUUCCAAAUCAUGUGUCUUUUCUGUCAGAACUCAGGAGAUGUGCAAAAAGUCCAGAAGGGAUAAUGUUUGGGUUGUGGCCUUAUACGCUCAACCCAGUUUCUUCCAUCCCUCCUAGCAUUCAAACCUGUCAGCCUUAUAAUCCUUGACUCAAAGUAUUAGUUAACCACGAAAAAAGACAAACCAGGAAAUUAGAGGCUGAUGGCCUAAAAUUUAUUCCAUUCUACUGAGCUAAUCUCAGAAGGGUGUGUAUAAGUCUUGCUGUCUGUUCUAGAAGAUGCAAACGGCAAAAAAAAAAGCACCGUGACUACAGAUCUCAACUUGUCAUGAUUUGUCCUCAAAAGAAAACAGACUGAUCCUAGACCAAGUUGCCUCACAGAUCCUUAAACAAGGUUCUUAAACAUUUGGGAUUGGUGUGCCACAAGCACCAACUCAUGCUCAGGCUGACCACAUUCAAAUGUUGGCAUUACCAGCUCCCAGGUAGGAGGCACCUGCCUGCCCUCCUGCCUUUCCAUGAAUGACUGGAAUCGCUGGAGGACAGAUGAGUGAAGCCUUUGGUGCACCGUGUGAUGAGUGCACCCCCUCCCCCAGCAGCCCAGUCAACUUUUGUUGUGUGUGAAGCAGCAAUUGGCAAGACCAAGGAGGAGGCUGGAAGCCCCACAAAGUAGGAUUCCAUGGAGCCACUGGAGCAUAGUCAAGUAUCCCAAGCAAGAGAGAGAGGAGGGUCCCAGAGGAGCCCAGGCAGCUGGUGGGCAGAGCAUUGCAUGGGAAAGCCAAGGACAGCCCCUUGCAGCCAGGCAUCUGUGUGGGUGGGAGGACACAGGGGGCUUCACUCCAGUCUCCCCUCAUUAGCUCAGUGCAGCUGAACCCCACCCUGGCCUGUGUUCCUGUCCACACGGAACUCCGCACAGUCUGACCUAGCACCCACGACACAGACAGCUGCAGCCAGAGUGAUCGACUGAAGAGAUGGCAGCCCUCAGAGACCUGACAAACGGCGUUGCUGCCCAGAUUCAGAAAUCUGCCCUUCCGGGAGCUGCAUUGUGAGGAUAUGACUAAAGGCUGAACAGUUCUUAUUUUAGGGAUUUUCUUUCUUUUCUCUUUGAACAAAAAGCAGAAUUCAAAAGCUGUUCUGAAAAUUUGAACACUAACCGAAUGUUGGUCAUGUUUAAGGGAUGUUGGUAAUUUUCAGGUUGAAAUAAUGUGGCUAAAUGUAAUGAGCCUGAUUUUUAGAGUCGCACUGGAAUACUGAUAGCAAAGUGAUAUGAUCUGCCUUCCAGGAUUUACUUUAAAAUUGUACAGGAGCGGGGCUGUAGGUGUAGCUCAGUGAUACAGCUCUUGCCUGCAAUGCAAGAGAAAACGAACAACAAAAUACUUCCACGAGAGGCGGCUUGGAGGAGGCUGAUGGUACACUUGAGAGGGACAUGGUGAGUUGCCAGAGCUGGGGUGCUAGGGUUCAUGGUGUUUAAAAUUGUAAUAAAAGUGUUUUCAUGAAAACUGAAGCAAUUUUAACUUAAUGAUUCUGGUCUUCCUGGUUCUUGCCACACAGUAUCUAC